rnacentral:rRNA from 1 species
GCUGGCGNCGUGCCUAACACAUGCAAGUCGAGCGAUNGNUUUANNUAGAGCGGNGGNCNGNUGAGUAACGCGUGGGUAACCUGNCCUGUACACACGGAUAACAUACCGAAAGGUAUACUAAUACGGGAUAACAUACGAAAGUCGCAUGGCUUUUGUAUCAAAGCUCCGGCGGUACAGGAUGGACCCGCGUCUGAUUAGCUAGUUGGUAAGGUAAUGGCUUACCAAGGCAACGAUCAGUAGCCGACCUGAGAGGGUGAUCGGCCACACUGGAACUGAGACACGGUCCAGACUCCUACGGGAGGCAGCAGUGGGGAAUAUUGCACAAUGGGCGAAAGCCUGAUGCAGCAACCGCCGCGUGAGCGAUGAAGGCCUUCGGGUCGUAAAGCUCUGUCCUCAAGGAAGAUAAUGACGGUACUUGAGGAGGAAGCCCCGGCUAACUACGUGCCAGCAGCCGCGGUAAUACGUACGGGGCUAGCGUUAUCCGGAAUUACUGGGCGUAAAGGGU